UACGUAGGCAGCAAACGUUGUUCGGAAUUACUGGGCGUAAAGAGUGUGUAGGCGGUCUUGUAAGUUCUGUGUGAAAUCUCCCGGCUUAACUGGGAGGGUGCGCCGAAUACUGCAAGGCUUGAGUACUGGAGAGGAUAGCGGAAUUCCUGGUGUAGCGGUGAAAUGCGUAGAUAUCAAGAGGAACACCUGAGGUGAAGACGGGUUGCUGGGCCGACACUGACGCUGAGGCGCGAAAGCCAGGGGAGCGAACGGG
rnacentral:rRNA from 1 species